rnacentral:rRNA from 1 species
GAUGAACGCUAGCGGCAGGCCUAACACAUGCAGGUCGAGGGGUAGAACACUUCGGUGUUUGAGACCGGCGCACGGGUGCGUAACGCGUAUGCAAUCUACCUUGUACAGGGGAAUAGCCCAGAGAAAUUUGGAUUAAUGCCCCAUAGUAUAUAACCUUCGCAUGUUGGUUAUAUUAAAGUUCCAACGGUACAAGAUGAGCAUGCGUCCCAUUAGUUAGUUGGUAAGGUAACGGCUUACCAAGACGAUGAUGGGUAGGGGUCCUGAGAGGGAGAUCCCCCACACUGGUACUGAGACACGGACCAGACUCCUACGGGAGGCAGCAGUGAGGAAUAUUGGUCAAUGGGCGCAAGCCUGAACCAGCCAUGCCGCGUGCAGGAAGACGGUCCUAUGGAUUGUAAACUGCUUUUAUACAGGAAGAAACAACUCUACGUGUAGAGUCUUGACGGUACUGUAGGAAUAAGGAUCGGCUAACUCCGUGCCAGCCGCCGCAGUAAGAC